rnacentral:sRNA from 1 species
AAAACAAAGAAGAAAAAC